rnacentral:siRNA from 1 species
CCGGGAGGAUAAUCGUUUUGCGG